rnacentral:rRNA from 1 species
AAGUCGUAACAAGGUCUCCGUAGGUGAACCUGCGGAGGGAUCAUUACUGAGUGCGGGCGCUAGACGCCCAACCUCCAACCCUAUGUUGAUCGACCCAGUUGCCUCGGGGGCGACCCGGCGCCGGGUCCCCGACGGAACACACCACUCUGCAUUCUUGCGUCGGAGUGGACAACGAAUUGAAUCAAAACUUUCAACAACGGAUCUCUUGGUUCUGGCAUCGAUGAAGAACGCAGCGAAAUGCGAUAAGUAAUGUGAAUUGCAGAAUUCAGUGAAUCAUCGAAUCUUUGAACGCACAUUGCGCCCUUUGGUAUUCCGAGGGGCAUGCCCGUUCGAGCGUCAUUAAGCCCAUCAAGCCCGGCUUGGUAUUGGGUCCCCGGGGGCGACCCGGACCCCAAAAGCGUCGGCUGCGCAGUGUGGAACCCAGCGUCGUGAAUCCAAUUCGCCGGCGGGAAGGACUGCGUGCGCCGUGAAACUUUUCUAUUCAAGGUUGACCUCGGAUCGGGUAGGGAUACCCGCUGAACUUAA